rnacentral:sRNA from 1 species
AUCUGCAGAACGGAAAUAAUAAGCAGAGAUGCAUGUGGAGCAAUGCUGUGUGUACUGUGGAGUCUGUUGGAUGUCGACCGGCUCCAUUUUUUUAU